rnacentral:rRNA from 1 species
UACAGAGGGUGCUAGCGUUGUUCGGAAUUAUUGGGCGUAAAGGGCGCGUAGGCGGCCCUGUGUGUCGGGUGUGAAAGCCCACCUCUUAAAGGUGGAAUUGCAUUCGAAACUACAGGGCUGGAGUGUCGGAGAGGAUGGCGGAAUUCCGUGGUGUAGAGGUGAAAUUCGUAGAUAUCAGGAGGAACACCGGUGGCGAAGGCGGCCAUCUGGACGACAACUGACGCUGAGGCGCGAAAGCGUGGGAUCAACAGGG